GGGGAAGCCAAGCCUUGACUUCGCGGGAGCCCACAGACCUGGUCUUUACUCUGGAGCCGCAUCGUCCCGGGUACAGAGCAGGCAGGACCUCAACCAAGGCAUGGAAGACUCUGCAGAAGGGGAGCGCCAGACACCUAAAGGGAAAUUCAUCUAGAAAAGACAUAAAGAAACCGGGUGUGCUGGGCACGAGCUUCCUGCAGGGCUGGCCAGCAACGGCACACUGGUGUCUCGUUCCCCACCCAGCACCAUCACCGCCCUGGAGGGGCCCCACCGAGACACCGAGACACCGUCUGUCAGAGGGCAGGUCACAGACCCACCCAGCACCACGUGGAAGGGGACGCAGGGGACACAGGCGCGAGCACCAGGAGCAGGGAGCCUGGGGUCCUCUGGGGGCAGAACUUGGACAGAAAAAGGGACCCAAAUGGAGCACAGCCGG
rnacentral:lncRNA from 1 species